rnacentral:rRNA from 1 species
UACGGGGGGGGCAAGCGUUGUUCGGAAUUACUGGGCGUAAAGGGCUCGUAGGCGGCCAACUAAGUCAGACGUGAAAUCCCCAGGCUCAACCUGGGAACUGCGUCCGAUACUGGCAGGCUUGAAUCCGGGAGAGGGAUGUGGAAUUCCAGGUGUAGCGGUGAAAUGCGUAGAUAUCAGGAGGAACACCGGUGGCGAAGGCGGCUCUCUGGACAAAUACCGACGCUGAGGCACGAAAGCUAGGGGAGCAAACAGG